rnacentral:rRNA from 1 species
AGAGUUUGAUCAUGGCUCAGAGUGAACGUUGGCGGCGUGGAUUAGGCAUGCAAGUCGAGCGAUCGUAGCAAUACGGGAGCGGCAAACGGGGUAGGAAUACAUCGGAACGUACCUUUUGGUUGAGAAUAGCGUUGGGAAACUGACGGUAAUACUCAAUAAAGUCGAGAGACCAAAGGGUUUACUGCCGGAAGAGCGGCCGAUGCGAUAUUAGGUAGUUGGUGGGGUAAUGGCCUACCAAGCCUGAGAUGUCUAGGGGGUGUGAGAGCAUGGCCCCCACCACUGGGACUGAGAUACUGCCCAGACACCUACGGGUGGCUGCAGUCGAGGAUCUUCGUCAAUGGGCGAAAGCCUGAACGAGCGACGCCGCGUGCGGGAUGAAGGCCCUUGGGUUGUAAACCGCUGUCAGGGGGGAUGAAACCGUAAGGUUGACAGAGCCCCAGAGGAAGCACGGGCUAAGUUCGUG